rnacentral:rRNA from 1 species
UACGUAGGGGGCAAGCGUUGUCCGGAAUCAUUGGGCGUAAAGCGCGCGUAGGCGGGUUGGUAAGUCCGCUGUGAAAGCCCGGAGCUCAACUCCGGAGGGUCGGUGGAUACUGCCAGUCUUGAAGGUGCUAGGGGGAGAUGGAAUUACCGGUGUAGCGGUGAAAUGCGUAGAUAUCGGUAGGAACACCAGUGGCGAAGGCGGUCUCCUGGGGCAUUCUUGACGCUGAGGCGCGAAAGCUGGGGGAGCGAACGGG